UUCGUUUUAGUAAACCUUUGGUGUUCUUAGUAAAUCUGGGUUUUCACAACUUUAGGUGGGGCUUUGUCAUCGUCACACCGCAAGGCCCCUAGGGCUAGAAGUUCCCCAAAAGACCAUAUGUCAGUGACGCAAUGACUGAACACCUUACACACUGCAAUGAUCACUCUUGCCAGGGUGUGUCUAGAAACGCCCCUGCUCUGCCUUUUUUGUAGAAUUAUUUUUUCAGAAUAAAUUAAUAAAUAAGUGAAGGAUCCAAUAAUAGAUCUUAUUAGAUUAAUUAUUUUUCUUCUUAGUUUAUAUUAGUCGUGGUGGUGGCAGUGAUUGUUAUCAUGGAAAUGCAAGCAUCCAGUGAGGAACGACAGAUUACCUGCACAUGGUGGCUCCCAGUUUCCAGUCGUAACCCUGGAGCUGGUAGGCAAUCUGAAAGGGCAGUGCAGCGCCGACAGCCAAGUCGGUGAUGGUCAGAUGAAUCAUGAAGAUGAUAGAGGGAGUCUUGGGU